UGAAAAGCUGGAGGAGCUUAAAAAGAAUCCUGAAAGAGUGUCCAGUGCUGAUGAAGGCAAAAUGAUCAUCAAGGAAGGUGAACUUAUAGAUCCCCAAAUUGACUCCAUGAAGGUAAUUCCUUGAAAGAAAUGAUAAGGGCAUCAAGGGAGGAG